rnacentral:rRNA from 1 species
GACGAACGCUGGCGGCGUGCUUAACACAUGCAAGUCGAACGGAAAGGCCCUGCUUUUGUGGGGUGCUCGAGUGGCGAACGGGUGAGUAACACGUGAGUAACCUGCCCUUGACUUUGGGAUAACUUCAGGAAACUGGGGCUAAUACCGGAUAGGAGCUCCUGCUGCAUGGUGGGGGUUGGAAAGUUUCGGCGGUUGGGGAUGGACUCGCGGCUUAUCAGCUUGUUGGUGGGGUAGUGGCUUACCAAGGCUUUGACGGGUAGCCGGCCUGAGAGGGUGACCGGCCACAAUGGGACUGAGAUACGGCCCAGACUCCUACGGGAGGCAGCAGUGGGGAAUAUUGCACAAUGGGCGGAAGCCUGAUGCAGCAACGCCGCGUGCGGGAUGACGGCCUUCGGGUUGUAAACCGCUUUCGCCUGUGACGAGGCGUGAGUGACGGUAAUGGGUAAAGAAGCACCGGCUAACUACGUG